rnacentral:lncRNA from 10 species
GCCAACACUCUGAGAAGGAAAUUGAAGCUCAGAGAAGGUCCAGCAGCUGGUGAGUAGAGAACAUGAGUUUCCAGUUGACAAAGUCUGUGCUCAGCUCCUUCACUGAACAUUGCUCUGAGCCAACGCAUGUCAGCGAGAGGACGCGGUGACACCGGCCUGUGGUUGCACCCAGAAACAAACAAGUAGGGAGAGCAGCCCCAGUUCUCCAGAAUGACCUCUUUCCUCCGAAUCCCACUCCAGGAAGAGAGUCCAGCAGGGGCCCCUGAGCUUGGGGCUGGCCCUGUGCGCUGUCAGCAGAGACCCCUGUCCAUCAGCACUUUGCAUGGGUCUGUCCUGCUUCAGUGGGGAAUGUUCCUCAGCAAAAGAACUGAGUGCAAUGCAGGGAUGCCAUCGGAGUUGGCUGGGGACAGCCUGGCUUUGUCAUGUUAGGGGGCAUGGAGGGGCAUGCAGUGCUCAGGGUGGACACCACACACAAGGGUCACACUGAGCUCAGAGGAACAAAUCGCAGGGAGAGAAUGUGCCAAUGGUGCUUUCUCCAAGACACCUCUGACCUGGAACUGCAAACCACCGCUGAUUCCCCUGCCCAGCUCCUCUGUUAGAAUGACCCCGUGGGGCUGCAGAUGACUUAACAGCUAUAUUUAGCAAGUCAUGGGAGGGAUGGGCCAGUUCCAGCCAGCUAGCCUGCCUUCAGAGGCCCUAGAUUCCUUUGUCCUUCCCUUCUGCCUCCCCUCCUAGUUUUUCCCACUGGCUGGCUCUUAACCCCUUCAUGGCUUGAGGACUCCUCUCAAAUAUGGGCAAAGCAGAUAGAACGUAAGGGAGGCCACCCGAGUAUCCCAGCCCCCAAAUUUCUCACUCAGCUGCCUGGAACUCUGCUUUACGAACUCCCUUUCUUCAGUCCUGAACUUUUCUUUUUUUUCAUCAUUAAGUGUUUCCUAAUAAAAUUAUGCAAGUACCCUUGGG